rnacentral:rRNA from 1 species
GACGAACGCUGGCGGCGUGCUUAACACAUGCAAGUCGAACGGAAAGGCCCUUCGGGGUACUCGAGUGGCGAACGGGUGAGUAACACGUGGGUGAUCUGCCCUGCACUUUGGGAUAAGCCUGGGAAACUGGGUCUAAUACCGAAUAUACCUCCUUGGUUGCAUGACUUUGGGGGGAAAGCUUUCGCGGUGUGGGAUGGGCC